rnacentral:rRNA from 1 species
CCAGACUCCUACGGGAGGCAGCAGUGGGGAAUAUUGCGCAAUGGGGGGAACCCUGAUGCAGCGACGCCGCGUGGGUGAAGGAGUAUUUCGGUAUGUAAAGCCCUAUCAGCAGGGAAGAACAAUGACGGUACCCGACUAAGAAGCACCGGCUAAAUACGUGCCAGCAGCCGCGGUAAUACGUAUGGUGCAAGCGUUAUCCGGAUUUACUGGGUGUAAAGGGGGCGCAGACGGCGAUGCAAGCCAGGAGUGAAAGCCCGGGGCCCAACCCCGGGACUGCUCUUGGAACUGCGUGGCUGGAGUGCAGGAGGGGCAGGCGGAAUUCCUGGUGUAGCGGUGAAAUGCGUAGAUAUCAGGAGGAACACCGGUGGCGAAGGCGGCCUGCUGGACUGCAACUGACGUUGAGGCCCGAAAGCGUGGGGAGCAAACAGGAUUAGAUACCCCCGUAC